GCGAGAGUGGCGGAACGGCAGACGCACUAGCUUGAGGGGCUAGCGGUAGAAAUACUGUAGGGGUUCAAAUCCCCUCUCUCGCA
rnacentral:tRNA from 1 species